UGAGGGAAUAUUGGUCAAUGGGCGCGAGCCUGAACCAGCCAAGUCGCGUGAGGGAGGACGGCCCUACGGGUUGUAAACCUCUUUUGCCGGGGAGCAACGGGCGUCACGUGUGGCGCCACUGAGAGUACCCGGAGAAAAAGCAUCGGCUAACUCCGUGCC
rnacentral:rRNA from 1 species